rnacentral:rRNA from 1 species
AAUCAACGCUGGCGGCGUGCCUCAGACAUGCAAGUCGAACGCGAAAGUCCCCUUCGGGGGACGAAGUAGAGUGGCGCACGGGUGAGUAACACGUAGGUAAUCUACCUUCGGAUGGGGAAGUAACAACCGGAAACGGUUGCUAAUACCGCAUAAUGCAGCGGCACCUAAUGGUGACAGUUGUUAAAGACGGGGGAGUCGAAAGAACCCGCCGUCUGAAGAGGAGCCUGCGGCGGA